GACGAACCGUGCGAACGUUGUUCGGAUUCACUGGGCUUAAAGGGCGCGUAGGCGGACUCUCAAGUCCGGGGUGAAAUACUUCAGCUUAACUGGAGAAUUGCCUGGGAUACUGGGAGUCUCGAGGGAGGUAGGGGUCGACGGAACUUCCGGUGGAGCGGUGAAAUGCGUAGAGAUCGGAAGGAACGCCGGUGGCGAAAGCGGUCGACUGGUCCUCUACUGACGCUGAGGCGCGAAAGCCAGGGUAGCGAACGGG
rnacentral:rRNA from 1 species